GCGGGCCGCCGCGGAGCGCCUCUGCGGCCCCGAUCGGGCAGCGAUUGCCAAGGGUCCGGAGAGGCUUCCGGAAGGGCCGCUUGCGGAGGCCACCAGUAGGCGUGUCCCAUUUGUCCAAAUGGCAGGUGUGGUUCUUGCAGCCUGCUGGUCAUGUAGGCAGUACCUAUCUAGGUCUUAAUUUCAGAUGUGGACAUUAGGGCCACAGAAAAGAGACUUGUCCACUCUCGGUGCGUGCUUUGGAGUCAGGGGAAAGGAGAAAUUGGAGCCACUCAGGGAUUCAAGGGACCUCACUUUUAGGCGGGACUGUGGGCGACGCUUCGCGAAUUGGGGUCAGGCGUGAAGUACUAAUCAACCCGUGAAAAGUGCUUAAGCUGAUUUCGCCUCUGGCUGAACCAGACCGAAAGCUCAGGGCCUGGUGGGGUUGAUUUCCACCGGUUCAACGAGAAGAGGUGUGUAUGGAGUUAUCCCAGGCGCAAGGGAGCCAGAGCAAAACUAGCCCUCCUUUCUUCCUGGUCCUUGUUUGGGAUGCAGGCGGAGGCCAGGGUACCACGGCGUUCUCUCAGGCUCAGCAGUGACACCUCCUGGGGGUCUUUGCUCCCCAGGUGUUUCCUGGAAGGACUAGGGUUUUCCUGAAAGAUUCCUCUUGUCUGUGGCAGCCUGGUAUCCAGAGUCCCCAAUGAACCAACUUGGGGAACUCCAGCAUGAAACUGAGUGGUCUUAGAGGCUGGUGACUGCCCAAACCUGCACAAACCUUGGCUGCUCCGUGUUUGUCACUGUGAUGGACAGCUUUGAGAGGCCAGCUGCCUGACCCUGUUCCAAGUCUUCCCAUCACGUUCAGUGCUGUGAUGGACAAGCUUUAAGGAGGUCCGUUUUUCUCCUGAUAUCUGGGCUGGGUUUUCCCCUAUUAGCUGAGGCCCACCUCCUGUAUCUUGAAUAGCCUUCCUGGCAUCCUCCCUCACCAGCUCAGGGUAUGCCUGAACUUUGCUUUCCACCGAGGGUUGUCUUGGCUGGCAGGCCCCAAGAGAGGGGGCUCUGUGUCUUUGGGCUCAACUUUGGGUUCUGUGUUUUAGGGAUUUCUGAAUCUCUGGUUUGUAUCAAUAUCUGGUUACUUGUAUGUCUCCAUUGCAUGGAGCUUAGGAACUUCAGUCUUAGGCAUCCCAACAGACUGUUUCAGCCCCUAGAUUCCACACCUGCUCAGCCCCACCCCAGUGCCUAUGCCACAUCUACCCAUUGGCCAAGAGAAGACAUCUGGGUGGCAGUUGAAGGCUCUUCUCUCACCUCUAGGCUUUCUUGGAACUACCUCCUCGAUGUGCCUGGCAUGUUGGUGUGCACAGCUGAGUGAACCUUUCCUUGUCCCAUCCCGUGUCCCAUUCUGUUGGUACCCCCAAUGCUGGCACAUGCAGUGGCUGUUCUCCUGUUUGUCCACCAGUUAUUGAGUGCUUCCUGUAAGUCAGGCAUUGGCUGAGCUCUGAGGAUACAGCAGGGAAGCCAACAGUAAGCGGCAUGUCAGAAAUUAAAAUGUGUUGACAAUGAGGUGACCAUAGAAGACUGCUGAGGAAGACAUUAGACUUGAUCUGAGAUGCCAGAAGGAGCCAAUGAUCCUAAGAUUUGGUAGGAGAACUUUCCAGAUAGAAGCAAUAGCUUCCAUAAGGUGGGGUGAGGUUGACAGUAGGCAAGCCUAUUCUGUAACUAUCUCGGGUUUGACUUUAUCACCCAGCCACAUCUCCAACUCCAAUCCUUUUAAACUUUGUCCAUGCUCAUAGAUGUGUGUGUCCUGGUAGUUCACGGUGGUUUUAAUUUGUAGUUUUCUGAGUUUGAAGGGUGUUGAGCAUCUUUUCAUGUGCUUUAUUUGUAUGUGGUGCUGAGAAUCGAACCCAGCGCCUCACAAGUGUCAGGCAAGUGCUUUACCACUGAGCCACAGUCCCAGCUCCUUGGCUGUAUAUCUUAUUUCAUGAAGUGUCUGUUCAAAUCUUUUGCCUGGAAAAAUGACUUGUAGGCCCCUUGUGUGAAGGUACAUGCUUGUAAUCCCAGUGAUUUAGGAGGCUGAGGCAGUAGGAUCAAAAGUUUGAAGCCAGUCGCAGUGGUGCAUGCCUGUAAUCCCAGAAACUCGAGGAGGCUGAGGUAGGAGGAUGAGAGUUCGAAGCCAGCCUCAGCAGAUUAGCGAGGAACUCAGCAACUCAGCGAGACCCUGUCUCUAAAUAAAAUAUAUAAAAGGUCUGGGGAUGUGGCUCAGUAGUUAAGCGCCCCUGGGUAUCAAAAAAAGAAAAAAAAGUUUGAGGCCAGCCUGAGCAAUUUAGUGAGACCUUGUCUCAAAAUAAAAAAUAAAAAAGGGCUGGGAAUGUAGAACAUGCCUGGGUUCAAUCCCCAGUAUGAGGUAUGUAGGGGGAGAGACAAUUAGAAAAAUGAUUUGUCUUAAUAAUUUUUUUUGGUGAUACUACAGAUUGAACUCAGGUCCUUAUACAUGCUAGGCAAGCUCUCUGCCACUGAGCUGCAACCCCAGCCCAUUUAUUUUAAGACAGGAUCUUAGUAAGUUGCUCAGGCUGGCCUUGAGCCACUUGUGUUUGUGGGACUACAGGUGGCUAUUGGGCUACACUCUCAGUCCAGCUGGUUCCUAGUUUCCUUCCUUCUUUUCUUUUCCUUAUUAUUUUCUUUUACAGUACCGGGAAUUGAACCCAGAGACACUCUACCACUGAGCUGCAUCCCCAGCCCUUGUUUUUUAUUUUUAUUAUUUUUUUUUAAAGAGAGAGGGAGAGAGAGAGAAUUUUUUAAUAUUUAUUUUUCAGUUCUUGGCGGACACAACAUCUUUGUUUGUAUGUGGUGCUGAGGAUCGAACCUGGACCGCACGCAUGCCAGGCGAGCGUGCUACCGCUUGAGCCUCAUCCCCAGCCCUUUUAUUUUUAUUUAAAAAAAAUUUUUUGGUACUGGUGAUUGAACUCAAGGGUACUCAAACACUGAGCCGCAUCCCUAGCCCUAUUUUUUUUUUUUAAGAGAGAGAGAGAAAUUUUUUUAAUAUUUAUUUUUUAGUUUUCUGCGGAUGCAACAUCUUUGUUUGUAUGUGGUGUUGAGGAUCGAACCCGGGCCACACGCAUUCCAGGCGAGCGCGCUACUGCUUGAGCUACAUCCCCAGCCCCUAUUUUUUUUUUUUUAACACUUUAAAAAAAAUUUUUUUUUAUAGCUUUGUUUUAUUUUACUUAUGUGGUGCUGAGGAUCGAACCUAGGGCCCUGCAUGUGCGAGGCGAGCACUCUACCGCUGAGCCAUAACCCCAGCCCCCCCAGCCCUAUUUUGUAUUUUAUUUAGAGAUAGGGUCUCACUGAGUUGCUUUAGCACUUUGCUGUUGCUGAGGCUGGCUUUGAACUGGAGACCCUCCUGCCUCAGUCUCCCUAGCUACUGGGAUUAUAGGCAGCUGCCCCUGUGCCUGGCUGUCUUUACUCUUUUUUGAAGUACUUUUACUUGGGGUUUCUCUAUGUUGCCCAGGCUGGCCCUAAACUCCUGGGCUCAAAGUAUCCUCUUGCCUCAGCCUCCCAAGCUGCUAGGAUUACAGGCAUACACUACCACGCCUGGCCAGUGUCCCAACUUCUGCACCCCACUAAGAAUGUUGGGGUUCAGAGGAAUCUGCUUGUGUGCAUGUCUGUCUCUGUCUCUGUAUAUGUGCAUAUAUGUAUAUAUAUGUGUGUGUGUGUAUAUAUAUUUUAGUUGUUGAUGGACCUUUGUUUAUUGAUUUAUAUGUGGUGCUGAAAAUCAAACCCACUGCCUCACUCAUGCUAGGCAAGUGCUCUACCACUGAGCCACAACCCCAGCCUGGAAUCUGCUCUUUUACACAUCACAGGUCCCCUUUGUCAUGUUCCUGAUUUUUUAAAACUUUGUCAUCCUACGUAUUGUGUCCCUCUAUGAUUUCUCUUCCCAGUGACCUUGGGGGAUAUCUGUGCUCUGCCAGCCCCCACCUUUCUUCCAUCCAGUUUAUAGGAAUUUGCUGAGUAAUUGUGAACUGUCUCCCCUGGGAUGUCCCCUUGUUGUUUCCUUGUUUGGAUGGGGUCUCAGACAAUGUGGGCAUUGUUGGUCAUCUAGACUCCACAGGUCUCCUGUUCUAAGUCUGGGAUAUUCAAAUACCUCUUGUGUCCACAGCUCCCAGGCCUGAACCAUAAGCAGCAGCCCUGCUGCCAGAUAGAUGUCUUGACUGCUGUCCUAUCUUGACUAGGCUCAUUCUCUGAGGGGGAGUAGGUUUUGAGCCAGAGCAAACCCAGGGUUAUAACGCUGUCCCCUUCAAAGCUCACUUUUGUGAUUUUGGUUUUCUCACUGUUGUACUUGGCAGACCUUAGUUUCCAGAUCUAUAUAGUGCGGGUCCCAUGGGGCAUUAGAGCCCCAAGGCUAAAUGAGGCUGCUCAGUGGAGUGGUGCCCGUGGCCCUGGCUUCUACUAAAUUUGUUUUGCCGGGGCUGCUGGAAGUCUUCCCUGUCUUGUUGUCUUUCUGGGAAUCUUGGCUUUUAUCUUCAGUGCUCAUUGAGUCUCUUUUUAAAUGCAGACGUCUCUGGCUGCCUAUCUGCUUUCAUUUGGGCACGUCUGCUGACACUUUUCUGUGAGUUUAUUAGAUGUGUUUUGGAGUCAUGUGGCAAAAGGAAAGGGAAAUGAGAAGGGAGAUUUAGAGCCUGCCCUGACUUCUGGGGAGAUCCACCCCCCCCAGAUUCUCCAUUGCUGACAGAUGCUGCUGCUAGAGCUCACAAUUAGUCUGGUCAGACCCCCAUGUGUUUCACGCAUAGCUCUACCCCCAGGCCGGAGUGGGCUAGGAGAAUGGCGUGCAUAGAUGUAUGGAUGGCGUGGGUCCUCCUUCCUCACAGGGUGGUCAGCAGACAGUUGUUACUGAGCUAAAUAACAUUUCAUUUUGUAGAGCAAAAAUAGUGGAAGCCCAGUGUGGUGGCUUAGCGUGUAAUCCCAGCUACUUAGAAGGCUGACAGAGAAUCACAAGUUCAAGGCCAGCCUGGGCAACUCCGCAAGACUCUUUCUCAGAAUGGGGGGUGGGGAGAAGUGCUGGGGGUGUAACUCAGUGGUAGAGCACCUCUGGGUUCAGUCCCCAGUCCUGCCAAAAUAGUGGAAGGUUUCUAUUUCAUACUGUUCUGCUAAGUGUCAUGCCAAGAGUACAUGAGAAGCAUCGGGAAAGGAGGGGAGGCUUUCUGUGGUGUUGGUGGUACAGAGGGGGUGGAACCUGGGGCCUUGAACACUUGGGAUCUUCCUGCCUCCACCUCCUCAGUAGCUGGCAUGGGCCUCCUCACCUGGCUGCCUCCUUUUGAUCUGUGUGUGUUAAUUAUUUAGGGAGGUGAAUAGCAAUCUUAUCUCAGGACUUGUGCCCUCUCUCCUUGGGCACAAGGAGCCCUUUGCUGCUAUGCUGACCUGAGUGACCUGAGUGACUUUGUCACUCUCUUUGUGUUUUUGCCCAAUUGAUCAUCUGUCUUUUUUUUAUUAUUUAUUUUUUGGUUAGACACAAUACCUUUAUUUUGUUUAUUUUUAUUAAUUUUUAUGUGGUGUUGAGGAUCGAACCCAGGGCCUCGCGCAUGCUAGGCGAGCACUCUACUGCUGAGCCACAGCCCCAGCCUUGAUCAUCUGUCUUUUGACCUUGUAGGAUUUUUUUGUUUUGCUUUUAUAAUAUAAACUUUGAAAAUUUAAUUGGAUUUGUAAGUUUCUGGGUUUUGUGGCAAGCUUAGGAAGGUUUCCCACUGUGCUGGGACCACAGAACGUUUUCCUUUUUGUCCUUCUUGUACUCCUGUGGCUUUGCUUCUCUCAACGUCAUGUGUGUGCUCUCUGGAGUUCAUUUUGGUGUGAGAAGUGAGGAGGGCCCUGCUGUUUCCCAGUAAGUAAGUGCUUCUUACUGUGGCACUUCAUACCUAGAGUCCUUCCCUGUGCGGCCCAGUGGACCUCUGGUGGCUCUGUGGGCUCUGAGGGGCUCUCCCUGCUGCCCUGAGGACCACCUAGGCUCUGUGCACUCCUUUCUAGAUGCAAGUCCUCCUACUCGGGACCAUUCCAUCUGCACUUCCUGGCCUUUUCUCACUGUGGCUGCCCAUUGCUCCCCAGUCUUGCCUUUUAUCAUCUCCCUGGACUGUCCUCAUGUCCAUUCCUUGCCCCAUACCUUUCCUCUUCAUCCUCUGGCAUAAUCUGAUCAUGUCAUGCAUUCAUCUGAGCGCCUUCUUGGUUCCCACAGCUGGUGGACAGAAUGCUGUACUGUCCACGCAGCCACCGAGCGGCCUUGGUUCCCCUGCAUCCAUACCCUUUGCGUAGCACACAGCACAUGUUCUUUCUCCUCCUGGCCCUGACCUUGUCCCUGUGCAGUGGCUCUGUAGCUCUGCUUCCCGAGGGUGGUCUUCACGUGGUCCAAGUGCAGCAGUAGAGAAGUCCUUUCUUCCAUGCUCUGUCCCCACUCAUUCAUUUCUUGUUUUACUUUUUCAUGUUUCUUAUGCAUAGAUAAGUGUACAGGCUGGGGUGAUGGCUUAGUGGCAGAGCGCUUGCCUAGCACUGGGUGUGAGGCCCUGGGUUUGAUCCUCAGCACCACAUAAAAAGAAAUAAAUAAAAUAACGGUAUUGUAUCCAUCUACAACUAAAAAAAAAAAAUAGAUAAGUGUACUUGUGUGUGUGUGUGUGUGUGUGUGUGUGGUGUGGUGCUGUACCACUAAGCUACAUCCUCAACAUUCUUUUCGUGUGUGUGUGGGGGGUAACAGAGGGUUGAACUCAAGAGCAAUUGACCACUGAGCCACAUCCCCAGCCCUAUUUUAUAUUUUAUUUAGAUUAGAGACAGGAUCUCACCGAGUUUCUUAGUGCCUCGCUUUUGCUGAGGCUGGCUUUGAACUCACAAUCCUCCUGCCUCAGCCUCCUGAGCUGCUGGAAUUAUAGGCAUGCACCACCUUGCCUGACGCCAGCACUCUUUUUUUUUUUUUUUUUAAUAUUUUAAAUUUGUAGAUGUACACGAUACCUUUAUUUUAUUUAUUUAUUUUUACAUGGUGUUGAAGAUCGAACCUAGUGCCCUCACAUGUGCUAGGCAAGCACUCUACCACUGAGCCACAACCUAGCCCUCGAUGCCAGUACUCUUUAUUCUUAUUUUGAGAUAGGAUCUUGCUAAGUUUAAUGAGGCUGGCUUUGAACUUGCUGUCUUUCUGCCUCAGCCCUGAGUUGCUGGGAUUAGUGGUGUGUUUCACCAUGCCUGGCUUCCAAUAAGAGUUUAUUUAAUUAAUCCCCUUUGAUAGACAUUUAGUUGCUUUUCUGUGUUUUAUGUCAUAAAUUCUGCUGCAUUGAGUGGCCGGAUGGCACUUCAGGUACUUCACAAUGAACACAAGGAAUACCCCAGUGAUGAGCCCUGGGGAUGGCCUGCACUGCCUCCUACAUCCACAGUGAUCAGAGUGACCAUUUGUCCUUCACUGCGUGGGGCUGCCCAUGGCCUCAGGGUACAGGCCUUUGAGCGUAGAGCUGCCUCCUAUGGGUCCUCCUCCCCAGUGGCUAAGCAGGCUUCAUGUGGUUCGCUGAGACCCCCAGGCACAGUUCUCGUGGCAUUCUGCCGGCCCCUGCACCUGGUGCCCACAUGUUGCAGCCCCUCUCCCAAGGCACUGCAUUCUGCCUCUUGUUGACAGAUGCACGCUAUAGACAUUGUUCUACAGAAUGGCUCCAUGUCAUUGACUGUUUUUUUCGUACUGGGGAUUGAAUCUAGGGGUGCUCUACCAGUGAAUUACAUCCCAGCCCUUUUUAUUUUUUAUUUUGAGACAGGGUCUCGCUAAGUUGCUGAGGCUGGCCUUGAGGUUAUGAUCUUCCUAUCUCAACCUCUUGAGUCGCUGGGAUUACAGGUGUGCUCUACUGUGCCUAGCCAUGAUUUACUUUUCCCAGAAUGAUGGGCGUCUAGGGAGUCUCCCAUUUUUUGCCAUGAUAGAUAUUGGUACAAACAAUAUGAACUCUUCUGGUUGUGAGUUACGGGAACCAGUUGCAACAAGCACAAGCAUCACAGAAAUGUAAAGUCCCCCAGAAUUGGACUGAAGGAGGCAGGCCAGGAUGCCAGGCUAGCCAUGUUGCUUCCUGGGACUCCUGUACUGGCUACCCAGUGCUCUCUGCUGCCCACUGUGUGUAUGCUUUCCCCCAUGGUAUACAGCCACAGCAGGAGGAUCUCUUCCUGCCUCCCUGACACUAUCCUGCCCCUCUGCCUGAUUCGCUUUCGGGCUUCAGAGGGUGCUCCCAGAAGGGCUGUCAGAGGGGACAUUUCAGGCCUGGGGAUGCACUAGCACCCUUGAGGUGCACCUGUAUGCACCCUGAGAACAGGAGCCUGUAACAAGUGCCCCAGGCUCUUCCCCUUCUUGGCAUUUCUCUGUAGCUCCUAGUGUCUUCUUUCCUUCUGUGAACAGAGUGCACCUCCACCUGCCUCGUCCCUGUCUCUGGACAAAUAAGGUGACUUGUGCUUCAUAGCCAUCAGACUCUGGGCUCUCACUGUACAGUGGGGGUCUUGAGGUGGGUGUGUGAGACACUGUGGUGGAGCAGUUAACAGGGCAGCUCUGGGUUAGGCGUGGGGAUGAUGGCGAGGACCUGCUGGAGGAAGGCUGUGGCUGGGGGCAGGGUGGGGUGGUGCUGAGGGUAUCAGGCCAGGGAAGUCAGGUCAUCCUAGAACCGUUGGAGCCUGGGCUGGAUCUGGGUGCUGCCUUGAUGCUGCCCCAUGGUGCUCUCUGCAGUCUAGGGGUGGCUCAGUGGUGGGAGGCUGAGAGGUGGGGAUGCGGCCAAUAUCCAUCUGGGAGGCUACUCCCCACGGGGUUCCACUCUUCUGUGCAGCUUGCCUGGGCUUGGAGCUGAGAACUAGAAUAAGUCAACCAGAUUAUCUGUUUGACAUUCCAGGGAGGCUUGGAGACGAUUUGUGGUGUGGUGGCCAUUUGUUGGGCUUGCCCACUUUGAGGUUGGCUUCUGGAGGACGGAUAGGCAGGCAGCAUCUGGGGAACGAGGGCACUGGAGUUUAUAGCUUUACUGGGUGGAGGUGGGUGCUGGACACCCCUGAAAGGCGACUGUCUGGGGUGGGUGCCUUCACGGUGGGCCUGGGCCUCCUUGGGCUCUCUGGGCACGUCCUUUCAGAGGAAGGAGUCAAGCAGGGUAGGGACUGACCCUAGCUCAGGUGGAGACUGUGCUCAGUCAGCCUCCAGCAGAGAGCUCAGCAAGGUGGGUGCAUCCAGGGGUGGGGACUGUUUUGGGGAGCCAUAUGGGGAAAGACAGAGCAUCCCAUGCUCACUCUUUUCAUAGCAGCCAGAGGGUUCAUGCUGCAUCCUGAGGGGGCCUCAGAAUGAGAACAUUAAAAGUCAGCUGUGUUCCAUUUGAAAAAUGGUUGUUGCCAGCAUGGUGGCCACACCUGUGAUCCCAGCUGCUCAGGAGGCUGAGCACAAGGAUUUCAAGUUCCAGGUCAGUCUGGGCAAUUUAGCAAGUCGUAUUUAAAAAAAAAAAAAAAUAUAUAUAUAUAUAUAUAUAUAUAUAUAUACACACACACACACACACACAUACAUAUACACACAAAUAAAUGUGUAAAUAUUUAUUUACUUAUUUAUUUAAAGGAUUGGGGUACAGCUCAGUGUUAGAGAGCCCCUGGGUUCAGUCCCUAGUCCAAUACACACACACACAAGAGAAAGUGGUUGCUGUCCUCAGAUUAUUUUUCUUCUGUAGGACAAAAGCAUCAGACAUCUUUAUAUCAGCCAGGCUUGGUGGCACAUGCCUGUAAUCCCAGCAGCUUGGUAGGCUGAGGCAGGAGAAUUGCAAUUUCAAAGCCAGCCUCAGCAACUUAGUGAAGCCCUAAGUAAUUUAGCAAGAUUUUGUCUCAAAAUAAAACAUGAAAAGGGCUGGGGAUGUGGCUCAGUGGUUAAGCACCCCUGGGUUCAAUUUUGCCAGUGCAAAAAAAUAUAUAUAUAUCUUUCUACCCAGUGAUGGGGUGGGUGUGGCUAUUUGAUCAGGUGGUCUUGGAUCAUUUUCUUUACCUUCAUUGGACAGAGAUGGGGCAGGCAGGGCAGUGGGCCUCCCUCUUUGCUGUGACCUCUUGGGGCAGACUGGGGCCACUUCCCUGACAGAAUCCUGAUGACAGAGAGAUGCAGGUCCCACCUUGUCAGCCCUGUUGGGGAGGAGGAUAUCUACCAUGGGUGGCAGCAGGGAGGACUCUGUCACAUGGCAGGGUCUGGAAUCCUUGUCCUUAUGCUGGAGGAGCUAGCAGGGUACCUGCAGAACCCAGCGUGGUUGUCUUGAGUAGGGAUGAUGGACCUGAGAGGGUGACAGCAGGACUGGGGAGUCUGGGCAGGGUGUUGGGCUGGUUUACGUCAGCCCUGGCCCUAGCAGUCUGCAGUGGUGGCCAACUUUGGAGCAGGCUGCUCACAGCAGAGUUCUGUUGGGAAACCUCUUGACCUACGGAGAGCACACCAGUCCAGGGCUAAGGGCCCUACUGGUUCUGCCCCUAGGAAACUCAGACCAAGCUCACAGGGGCUAACUCUACCAGGUCAGACCUGUCAGAAGGGACCUGGCCAGCCUAGCGGCAUCUGGCGUCGCAGUCCCCUUCAAGGCAAAAGGGGUGUUUGUUGAGACCCUUGGCUAGGGGGAAAUGGGGUUAGUGUCUAGGUUGCCGAGAGGCCUGGCUGUGUGGAGAAUAGGAUUCUGGGCAGUGUGUGACUGUUCCUUCUGAGGAACAGAGCAGUGGGUGACCAUGGCUUGCGAGGAAAGGGGCCAAGAUGGGCACUCCAGCAAGGUUGUACCUCUCAGCUUACAGCCUAAGCUGUUUGCCUGUUGGUCCCUGUAGACCUCCAGCCAGGUCGGUCACCUGUGCCUGUAACCAUACAGCCCAGGUUCCCAGGGUGGUUGGAGUGUUGGCUGGCCCGGUCAGGGAGCCUGGCAAGGAGCAGGAGCAUUUGGUAGAGUGAGGGGCUGGGGAGCUCAUCACUGGCCAAGAUCAAGGAGGCAGGGCGUGAAGCAGGGACUCAGGGCAGACUUUGCCCACACAGCACACAGGGAUGGCUGCCUGUGGGCAGUGCUCCUGACUCUGCUCCCAGCGGUGUGCCUGGGCAUCCUGCAGAGGGUGGGUAGGGAGCCUGAGGUGCCCUUCAUCCUGCCUUUCCUAAGUGUGAGAGCUGAGCAGCCCCCCAAGGAUCAUUGCCCUGCACUGUGUUCCACAGGUAGAAGGUGGGCCCCACACAAGGCAGGACCCCAGGGUGGCCGGGAGUGGUCUCACCAGAGCCUCUCUGCCCCACCCUCUGAGCUGGCCUUGAUGUGCUUCCUUAUUUGCUCUUCAGGUGUAUGUGGCUGCCAAAAGGGGAGGCUCCCCUGAAGACACACUGACAGGCGCCUUGUGUCCUCUGUACCCUGGCUGCCUAGGGCUGACCUUAUGUGGCCCACCUCAUUGGUCCUGCUGUGCCGACUGGAGCACCAUCAGGAGGGUGCAGGCAGGGCCAGGCCAUGACUGCUCCUUGACCCCAGCCAGGCUCCUGAGGCCUAGAAAGAGCAGAAGCUCCAAGGGGCUCUCAGGGCCCACUGUGGAUUGGCCCUGCCCUCCCUCUCCCUUGGCAAGGUACCAGGAAGCUAGAGCUUUGUUAUCUGGGUAAUUAGCUUCAGACCCUGGACUGAGUCCAGCCAGGUCUUAGGGCUACGUCCCACAAUAGGUGUACCCUGAUCUCAAAAGGGAAGUGAGGUGCUGCCUGUCUAGAGACCCUGCUAUCUGAGCAACCAAGGGGCCAGGCCUGCGUGGGACCAGCUGUGGUAUCCUUACACGCCCUUCCUUCUUGGGCUGUGCCCCUCAGGGCUGCCUGGGCCUGAUCACAGCCUCGCCAGGGGCCAAGGGCACAAGCCUCAGGAAGGGAAUGCCCUCAGAGGUGUCAGUCCAGCCAGCUGCUCUGCCACUCAAGCCUGGUCUGACCCCCAUCCCCUGCACUGUGGUACCCCAAGCAGCCCUGUGGGUAGACACCCCCGACCAUGGCUGAGCACCUGGAACUACUGGCAGAGAUGCCCAUGGUGGGCAAGAUGAGCACCCAGGAGCGGCUGAAGCAUGCCCAGAAGCGGCGUGCCCAGCAGGUGAAGAUCUGGGCCCAGGCUGAGAAGGAGGCCCAGGCCAAAAAAGGCAAGUGGAGGCAGCUGCAGAAGGAGGCAGCUGGCCGAGGGCCCCCGAAGCAAGUUGUCUUCCCUCCCAGCGUUGUCCUUCUGGAAGCUGCUGCCCGAAAUGACCUGGAAGAAGGUGAGUGCACUUGUCCCAGGGUGGUACACAAUGGCACUCCCAUCCAUGUGGGCGUGGCCUCAUCGUGUGUUGGGCUCUGGGCUGGGCCUGUGCCCGUCCAGCACUCUUGGGCUUUAGCCACAGGGCAACCAGGGUCUCUGGUUAGGACAACCCCCACUGAGACAGCUCUUCUUCAGCAGAGGCCUCAUGCAAAAGGUCCUGCUGUGAGGCAGGCCAGUUGAGAGAGUACCAGGCUGCAGGGGGCGCCCAUCAGGGCCUGCAGAAGCAUCCAGUGUGUGGGGCUGAGCAGGCUGACAACUCUCACCGCCUCUUGUAAGGAUGCUAGGCUGUGGGUGAGCGCCCUGGCCUCUGCCAGCUGUUCCCUGAGUCCCACCUCUGCAGAGGAGGGUGCUCAUACUUACCUCCAGUUGCAAGAGUCGGGCAAGCUGACCCGGAGCCCACACGGCUGACCCUCUCGCCGCUGCCGUCAGUGUUCCCUUUGACUCCUUCCUUACCAUUGGAGCCUUCCCAGCCUGAUGCCAGCCUGACCUUUCUGCAAGCCCCUCUUCCUCUCCAUGCCUCGUAUUUGUGACCCUCUGAGUACAAGGCUCUGGAGUCUGGGGAGGAGACCUCUUGAUUUUUCUUAAGGGCUCUUCCUGUGUCUUUUGGGGGCAGAGGUGAGGAGGAGUGGGCAGUGACAGUGCAGGAGCCCUCCUGAGACCUGGAGGCUGAGAGGGGACCUGUGGAGAAGGGUGCCAUGUGUGCCACAGGCCUGACCACAAGGAGCCGUGUCUUACUGCUGCAUGGCCAGAGAGGACCCCAGGGACCUUGGCGAUAGCGUGGUCUGAGAUAGGAUUUCUGAAGGGGAGCAAGGGCAGGGACAGGCACUGGUUGAGGGGCUGGGCUCAACAUCAGGAAGAUCAGAGGAGUGUAAGCCCCUACGCUGGGAGCUGAGGGUGGAAUCACCGGCAAGCGGUCUCACAGGAGGGCCGGUUCUGCGGUCUUAGGGGUUGGGUGUCAUGAUAGGAGAGGGGCUGGUGCUGCUGUGUGUGCGGCCUAUUUGGGGCAGACAGACACCCCAGGCUCCUUGAGUCUGCAUGCUUCCUGCCAUCUACACCAGUCUUCUUCUCCCUUCCCUGAUCCCUGGGCAUCAGCAUCAUGGGCCCAGGUGGCCUUGGGCCAGGGAUGGCGUAGGCCAGUCAAGGCCUCACCCAGACGUCACCACCCCCUUCUUACAGUCCGCCAGCUCCUCAGGAGUGGAGUCAGCCCCGACCUGGCCAAUGAGGAUGGGCUGACAGCACUGCACCAGGUCAGCCUGUGUGCGGGGUGGGCAGGGCAGGGGCUGGCAGGGCUCAGGCCACUCAGGCUGUGUGUUUGCAGUGCUGCAUUGAUGAUUUCCGAGAGAUGGUGCAACAGCUCCUGGAGGCUGGGGCUGACGUCAAUGCCCGUGACAGCGAGUGCUGGACCCCCCUGCAUGCUGCAGCCACCUGUGGCCACCUGCACCUGGUGGAGCUUCUCAUUGCCCGGUAGUGUCCAUUGGGCCUUUAUCAUGGAGGGGCUUUCUCACAGAUGGCAGCUCAUGUGGCUAUUCUGUGAAGCUGGUCAGGUCCUGGCUUCCUGUGUCCUCACCUCUGUCCAUCCUGCUUGAGACCCCUGGGGGAUAGUUUGGGCCCACCUGGUAGGCUGGACCACCAGCUCUGGAUGGAGGGCCUUCUCAUGGUCUCCCCUGAGAAAUGCCAUUCUGGUUAGGGUUGAGGGUAGAACGAAUAAGGGGGUAAGGGGAGCAGAGAGGCCAGGUGGGUCUCGGAGGGUGUGCGUGGGUAUCGGUGAGGACUUUUCUCCAACAGGAAGGAAGGUGGAGUGGGGAGUGGUGGUAAGCCCUGUAACUCCAGCUACUUGGGAGGCUGCGACAGGAGGAUCUCAAGUUCAAGGCCAGCCUGGGCAACUUAGAUCUUAUCUCAAAGAUUAAAAAAAAAUGUUUUGGUGGUAUUGGGGAUUAAACUCAGGAUCUCAGGCUAGGCAGCCAUUCUACCACUAAGCUAUAUCCCCAGCCCUUUAAAGUAAAAAAAGAAAAAAUAAAAAAGUAACAAUUAAUGAAAGGACUGAGGAUGUAGCUCAGCUUUUGCCAAGGGUGGACGUGGCUUUGGGUUCAAUCCCUAGUUACACACACACACACACACAUAAAUAAAUAAAUAAAUAGGACUGGGGAUUUUACUUAGUGUUAAAGCACAUCUGGGCUCAGUCCCCAGUACUGGGGGAUGGGAGGAGGAUGGAGCAGAGGAGGUUAGUGGCUUCCUCAGGUUCAGGAGCCUGUCCUUCCUCCCCCCAUCCUGGGCCUCUCCAGUAGAUCAGAGAUCCUCGUGUGGGUGACUGGCUGUUGCCAUCACACAUAAGUGCCUCCUCUGAGUAGAGCAGUAGCCAUGCAGCAAACAGGCCCCCAGGCUCCCCUUGGAGCUGGUGACAGGCUGCAGGUGGGUUCCAAACCUUAGGCAGCCCCUCUGUGUCCUUUGCUCCCCCCAGCUCCCCUUCCCCCAGGCCUGCUUCCCCUGAUCUGUGGGCUCAAAAUCAGCAACUGCUUGGCUUUCUUGCUUCACUUCUCCCUGGGGUCCCCAGAGUGCUGCGUACCUCCUGCAGGUGUACCCUGUAUUUAUGGGGGACAGACGGGUGCCUUGGGCCUUGAAGCCCAGAUGGGUAGACUGCAGGAUGGCCUGUCUGCCUGAGGAACAAGAUCCAGAGCUG
rnacentral:lncRNA from 1 species